rnacentral:rRNA from 1 species
ACCAACGCUGUACCAAGUUACAAACACCAGUUUUCGUCCGAUCACUAAAGUUAAGCAGCGUUCGGCUUGUUCAGUACAUGGAUGGUUGAUCAUCUGGGAGAUCACGUGUUGUUAGUU